UACGUAGGGUGCAAGCGUUGUCCGGAAUUAUUGGGCGUAAAGCGCGUGUAGGCGGCUUGGCAAGUCGGGUGUGAAAUCCCUCAGCUUAACUGAGGAAGUGCGCCCGAAACUGCCGAGCUUGAGUACCGGAGAGGGUGGCGGAAUUCCCUAAGUAGAGGUGAAAUUCGUAGAUAUGGGGAGGAACACCGGUGGCGAAGGCGGCCACCUGGACGGAUACUGACGCUGAGACGCGAAAGCGUGGGGAGCAAACAGG
rnacentral:rRNA from 1 species